rnacentral:rRNA from 1 species
AAAUGAAUAGACGGGCACCCGCACAAGCGGUGGAGCAUGCUGUUUAAUUCGAAGAUACGCGAAGAACCUUACCUAGACUUGACAUCCCCGGCAAAGCUAUAGAAAUAUAGUGGAGGUUAUCCGGGAGACAGGUGGUGCAUGGUUGUCGUCAGCUCGUGUCGUGAGAUGUUCGGUUAAGUCCGAUAACGAGCACAACCCUCGUCAUUAGUUACUAACAGGUUAAGCUGAGGACUCUAAUGAUACUGCCGGUGACAAACCGGAGGAAGGUGGGGAUGACGUCAAAUCAUCAUGCCCCUUACGUCUAGGGCUACAGGCGUGCUACAAUGGCCGAUACAAAAAGAAGCAAAACCGUAAGGUGGAGCAAAUCUCGAAAAUCGGUCCCAGUUCGGAUUGAGGUCUGCAACUCGACCUCAUGAAGUUGGAAUCGCUAGUAAUCCUGAAUCAGAAUGUCAGGGUGAAUACGUUCCCGGGUGUUGUACACACCGCCCGU